ensembl:lncRNA
CCGUCAGCCUGCUGGCCCUGUUCCUGUUCCGCUCGCCCCGGGCCCUGAGCCCCCGAGUGGAAGAGCAGGAGCCAAAGGACGGGAAGUUGGGCAGUGCCAGGAAUGCCAUCUCCCUAAAAAUCGCCUCCGUUUUGCCGGGACUCCGCUACGCCCUCCGGAAAGCAGCCAGCUCCUCCUGGAACGCCUCGGGCAUCCAGGAGCACCUCCAGGAAUUUGCAGAACUCCAGGAAAACUCCCAGCCCAUCCCUGGGCAGGGCAGCGACGUUCCCGUUGCUCCUGUCCCCUCUUCCUGCCGGGAUGGAGGCGCUGACCCUUCCCAAAAUCUCUCGGAGCCAUCCCUGGCCCAGCUGCGCCGUUACCUCUGCGACCCCGGCAGCUUCGCCCUGGGCAUCCAGGCAGCCUUGCAGUGUCUCACGGGGGCUGCCAGGAAUUUGGGAGCUGAUCCUGGGAAUUCCUCCUCCUCCUCCUCCUCCUCCUCCUCCUCGGUGCCUCCACAUCCCGCUCCUCCCACCAGAACGCUGCGGGAUAAGAGGGAGCACCCCAGGCCCGCUCCGGAGAGAUUCCCAAAAAGCAUCACCUCUCCCACCAAGCCCUGGGGCCGGGAGCUCCGGAGGAAAUCCAGCAGGAUCCUCGGGAAGAGAGGCCUCAAGGCACAAACACAUCCUGGGAAGAACAACAGCAGGAGCAGGGAGGCAGCCAAGAAAAAACCCAGCAUCGCUUCCUCUUGUCCCAAAAAAUCGGGAUCCACGGACAAUCCCAACGAGCCCAUGCUGAAAUUGGCCAAUUUGCAGCUGCCACAUGGAAGGAAAAGAGGUGCAGAGGUCCUGGCUGCAGAAAUCAUCCACAAACCCCAGUGUGAAGGUGCUGAGAAGGAAAUCUCAGCUCCCAACAUUCCUGGCGUGGAAGCAAAGAGGCCAAAAACCCUGGAAAACCAGAAUUCCCAGAAGGUUCCUGCCACAGAGAGUGACACAAAGCCAGGGAAGAGCAAAAUGCAGAAAAACGUGGAAAACGAAGCGUCAAAACCUCCGGAGAACCAGCAGGAAGAGAGCGAGAGGGAGGAGCAGCUCUUGGAGGUCCUGAACGAAGCCUCAUCCCAAACCUCUGGAGAAGAACCUCCAAGGAACGUUCAUCCCAUGGCAAUUCCCAACAUUUCAGAACCUCCAAGGAACCUUCAUCCCAUGGCAACUCCCAGUGGAUCAGAACCUCCAAGGAACCUUCAUCCCAUGGCAAUUCCCAGUGGAUCAGAACCUCCGAGGAACCUUCAUCCCAUGGCAACUCCCAGUGGAUCAGAACCUUCAAGGAGCAUUCAUCCCAUGGCAAUUCCCAACAUUUCAGAACCUCCCAGGAACCUUCAUCCCAUGGCAACUCCCAACAUUUCAGAACCUCCGAGGAACCUUCAUCCCAUGGCAACUCCCAACAUUUCAGAACCUCCCAGGAACGUUCAUCCCAUGGCAAUUCCCAAUAUUUCAGAACCUCCAAGGAACAUUCAUCCCAUGGCAAUUCCCAGUGGAUCAGAACCUCCGAGGAAUCCUCAUCCCAUGGCAAUUCCCAGUGGAUCAGAACCUCCCAGGAAUGUUCAUCCCAUGGCAAUUCCCAGUGGAUCAGAACCUCCAAGGAACAUUCAUCCCAUGGCAACUCCCAGUGGAUCAGAACCUCCAAGGAACAUUCAUCCCAUGGCAACUCCCAGUGGAUCAGAACCUCCCAGGAAUGUUCAUCCCAUGGCAAUUCCCAAUAUUUCAGAACCUCCCAGGAACGUUCAUCCCAUGGCAACUCCCAGCGGAUCAGAACCUCAGAGGAAUCUUCAUCCCAUGGCAAUUCCCAACAUUUCAGAACCUCCGAGGAACCUUCAUCCCAUGGCAACUCCCAGUGGAUCAGAACCUUCAAGGAACGUUCAUCCCAUGGAAAUUCCCAGCGGAUCAGAACCUCAGAGGAACGUUCAUCCCAUGGCAAUUCCCAACAUUUCAGAACCUCCAAGGAACCUUCAUCCCAUGGCAAUUCCCAACAUUUCAGAACCUCCCAGGAA